AAGGACAGGGGUCUGCCAAGGAAGGCAGGAACCUCCCUUGGAAUGGAGAACAUGACCCCCUUCCCUCCUAAUUUUUGUAACUUUGAAAUUACGGGGCUUUCAGGCAAAGAUAGGGGAAGAGGAAUAGCAGUUCCUUACAGCGUGUGUGUGUACAGCCGGGCAAACAAGCACCGAGCCCGGCAGAGCACAGACCCGGCGCGGCCUUGUCCCGGCUCAGGCCCUUCCCCCGCGGCGCAGUUCCGGGCACAGCCAGCAGGGGCGCCGCUGGCUGCCGGGCAGCGCGGGGGCGAUGCUUCCCCCGCGGCUGCAGGGGGCGCUGUGGCGCGGCUCGGCCGCCUCUCUGCGCACGGCAAUGGCGGCGGGCCGGCGGAAGGGAUGGGGAAGGGGCUUCUGUAAAGACGUUAGAGGGCUCCAGGACGGUGUGGGUGGACACAGACGAGAGAUCUCUGCUGAUUGCUCUUGGAGGAUAAGGUUUAUUUGGGAUGGAGAGAGGCCCUGCCUCGAGCUGCCAGACACAGCACGUGCUGGGGCCUGAGCUUCCUUUGGAACCCUCAGGGACAGCCGGUCCCAAGAAAAGAAAUCUCAUCAAUAUGUAGGACUCUGAAUGGAAAGAAAGGACUAAUUGCCAAAAUCCUGGCCUUGGGCGGAAUUUUUUCUAUAAAAACCGCUUGUACCAAGAGGGCGGUGUGUGGGCACAGAGGGAACCUCUGCUAAGGCUGUCUUCUCUGUUGCACACCCAGCGCCAACCCUGGGCUCGGCACUGUUCUUUCCUUGUGGCUGGCUAAGAUAGAAUUUGAUCGCAAAAAUAAAAAAAAACUUUAUUUUUACUUUUAAUUUGUCUGAAUAAAUUUUCAUUUAUAACAUCACUAAUUGACACAGACUGUUACUCACUCAGGACUGUGCUACAUCUCUGGAUUUAGAGAGAAAGAAUAGAGACACAAGGAAAAAGAAAAACAGGGAGGUUUACAUUCGAAGGGAUAUUAAGCAUUUUGGGAAGUCUGUACAUCUCAAGUACCUCAGCCAAUGCGGAAAGAGAGGAAAAUUUGGCCAGGAAAUUAGGAUAAAAAGGAGGCUGCAUCCUGUAUAAAUUUGAGAUACCUCAUGGGGAACACCCUAUGGUCUCUCCCUUUAUUGAAUAAAGUAAAAGGACUUCUCUGUCUUCUUUUUGGACAUAAACCUCUGGUGUUUGUGGAUUCAUUUUCCUGAUAUCCAUAUAUUAUCACAAGGCUCAUGCACCUUUGCAGUUGUCAUGUAACUUUUAUUUAUGUACAAAAAAGCUAAGAUUACUAUCUCUUUCUUCCCUGUCCAUUCAGGGUUCUCUCUUCAAAUCAAGCUGCAGCAGGACUGCUGGUGGAGCAAAAUGGAAGAUCCCCAUUGCCAGCAAACACACAGAUCCUGAUGUGAGAAAUGACACUUCUUUUUAAAAUUUCAAAGGUUUAUUAAACCUUAACAAAAAUGCAGAAAACAGAAUGUUAUAAAUUAAUAAUGUCAUAGUUGGCUCUCACAAUUAAGAGAUGGAUAUUAUGUAAAUGGUAAGAAAGGUUUUGUAAAUGUAUAUGAUGUUACUGUAGUAUGUCCUCCUAUAGUCUUCUUUCCCCUCCCCAUUGUAAUAGCCUUGGUAGUUAGGGCAUUUGGGAGGGCUGGCUUGUUACCAGGAGGCGCAACAUGAAAACACUUGACCUCCAAUCAAGGUAUAAGAAAGUAAUCACCACCGGUUGAUGGCAGAGAAAGAAUUGACUGACAAAACUUUGGGAGAGCUAAGAGUAGAAAAGGCAGAGCAUCCAUUUUGAAAUCGAGCACCUGGCUGCUAGUUACGGAGACUCCCGGUGCUGUAAUUUUUCCUUAUUCAGUUUGUUGUAAUUUUUGUUAAGAUUUAUUAAACCUUUGACAUUUUA